AUUUAGAUUAAUUAACAUUUAAUAUGUUCUAACUAAUUUUUACAUACUAUAAGCAUUUACACUACGACACCGCAUCGAUGUCCCUUGGCCGCUCACGAAUAUUCCUCUUAUUCCUGUCGGUAGGUCCCCAGUUAUCAUAGAAACCCUAAACAAACUCCAAUUUGCCAACUCCCAAAACCUCUUUAAACUGUUGGUAGAUAUCUUCUAUCCGUACACUCAGAUUAACACAACCACGCAUAUAUUCAGCAUACUCAACCUUCUAGACAACUCUGAAUUUCAACCAAAGAAGUAUCCGCCAUUCCAACAACAAUCAAGAGUACCAGCCUUUUCUUUUCUUAUGAAAAAUCCAAUUCACCAAUAUAUCACUGACUUUCAGCAACGAUUGCCUCAGUCUUUCCAAAAUCCUGUGAAGAAAA
rnacentral:lncRNA from 1 species